rnacentral:rRNA from 1 species
GGGUUGUGAGGUUAAGCGACUAAGCGUACACGGUGGAUGCCCUGGCAGUCAGAGGCGAUGAAGGGCGUGCUAAUCUGCGAUAAGCGCCGGUAAGGUGAUAUGAACCGUUAUAACCGGCGAUACCCGAAUGGGGAAACCCAGUGUGAUUCGUCACACUAUCAUUAACUGAAUCCAUAGGUUAAUGAGGCGAACCGGGGGAACUGAAACAUCUAAGUACCCCGAGGAAAAGAAAUCAACCGAGAUUCCCCCAGUAGCGGCGAGCGAACGGGGAGGAGCCCAGAGCCUGAAUCAGCAUGUGUGUUAGUGGAAGCGUCUGGAAAGGCGCGCGAUACAGGGUGACAGCCCCGUACACAAAAGCGCAUGUGCUGUGAGCUCGAUGAGUAGGGCGGGACACGUGGUAUCCUGUCUGAAUAUGGGGGGACCAUCCUCCAAGGCUAAAUACUCCUGACUGACCGAUAGUGAACCAGUACCGUGAGGGAAAGGCGAAAAGAACCCCGGCGAGGGGAGUGAAAAAGAANNGGGCGUUAAGUUGCAGGGUAUAGACCCGAAACCCGGUGAUCUAGCCAUGGGCAGGUUGAAGGUUGGGUAACACUAACUGGAGGACCGAACCGACUAAUGUUGAAAAAUUAGCGGAUGACCUGUGGCUGGGGGUGAAAGGCCAAUCAAACCGGGAGAUAGCUGGUUCUCCCCGAAAGCUAUUUAGGUAGCGCCUCGUGAAUUCAUCUCCGGGGGUAGAGCACUGUUUCGGCUAGGGGGCCAUCCCGGCUUACCAACCCGAUGCAAACUGCGAAUACCGGAGAAUGUUAUCACGGGAGACACACGGCGGGUGCUAACGUCCGUCGUGAAGAGGGAAACAACCCAGACCGCCAGCUAAGGUCCCAAAGUCAUGGUUAAGUGGGAAACGAUGUGGGAAGGCCCAGACAGCCAGGAUGUUGGCUUAGAAGCAGCCAUCAUUUAAAGAAAGCGUAAUAGCUCACUGGUCGAGUCGGCCUGCGCGGAAGAUGUAACGGGGCUAAACCAUGCACCGAAGCUGCGGCAGCGANNUGCUGGAGGUAUCAGAAGUGCGAAUGCUGACAUAAGUAACGAUAAAGCGGGUGAAAAGCCCGCUCGCCGGAAGACCAAGGGUUCCUGUCCAACGUUAAUCGGGGCAGGGUGAGUCGACCCCUAAGGCGAGGCCGAAAGGCGUAGUCGAUGGGAAACGGGUUAAUAUUCCCGUACUUGGUGUUACUGCGAAGGGGGGACGGAGAAGGCUAUGUUGGCCGGGCGACGGUUGUCCCGGUUUAAGCGUGUAGGUGUGUGUUCCAGGUAAAUCCGGUUCACUUUAACACUGAGGCGUGACGACGAGGCACUACGGUGCUGAAGCAACAAAUGCCCUGCUUCCAGGAAAAGCCUCUAAGCAUCAGGUAACAUCAAAUCGUACCCCAAACCGACACAGGUGGUCAGGUAGAGAAUACCAAGGCGCUUGAGAGAACUCGGGUGAAGGAACUAGGCAAAAUGGUGCCGUAACUUCGGGAGAAGGCACGCUGACACGUAGGUGAAGUGAUUUACUCAUGGAGCUGAAGUCAGUCGAAGAUACCAGCUGGCUGCAACUGUUUAUUAAAAACACAGCACUGUGCAAACACGAAAGUGGACGUAUACGGUGUGACGCCUGCCCGGUGCCGGAAGGUUAAUUGAUGGGGUCAGCGCAAGCGAAGCUCCUGAUCGAAGCCCCGGUAAACGGCGGCCGUAACUAUAACGGUCCUAAGGUAGCGAAAUUCCUUGUCGGGUAAGUUCCGACCUGCACGAAUGGCGUAAUGAUGGCCAGGCUGUCUCCACCCGAGACUCAGUGAAAUUGAACUCGCUGUGAAGAUGCAGUGUACCCGCGGCAAGACGGAAAGACCCCGUGAACCUUUACUAUAGCUUGACACUGAACAUUGAGCCUUGAUGUGUAGGAUAGGUGGGAGGCUUUGAAGUGUGGACGCCAGUCUGCAUGGAGCCGACCUUGAAAUACCACCCUUUAAUGUUUGAUGUUCUAACGUGGACCCGUAAUCCGGGUUGCGGACAGUGUCUGGUGGGUAGUUUGACUGGGGCGGUCUCCUCCUAAAGAGUAACGGAGGAGCACGAAGGUUGGCUAAUCCUGGUCGGACAUCAGGAGGUUAGUGCAAUGGCAUAAGCCAGCUUGACUGCGAGCGUGACGGCGCGAGCAGGUGCGAAAGCAGGUCAUAGUGAUCCGGUGGUUCUGAAUGGAAGGGCCAUCGCUCAACGGAUAAAAGGUACUCCGGGGAUAACAGGCUGAUACCGCCCAAGAGUUCAUAUCGACGGCGGUGUUUGGCACCUCGAUGUCGGCUCAUCACAUCCUGGGGCUGAAGUAGGUCCCAAGGGUAUGGCUGUUCGCCAUUUAAAGUGGUACGCGAGCUGGGUUUAGAACGUCGUGAGACAGUUCGGUCCCUAUCUGCCGUGGGCGCUGGAGAACUGAGGGGGGCUGCUCCUAGUACGAGAGGACCGGAGUGGACGCAUCACUGGUGUUCGGGUUGUCAUGCCAAUGGCACUGCCCGGUAGCUAAAUGCGGAAGAGAUAAGUGCUGAAAGCAUCUAAGCACGAAACUUGCCCCGAGAUGAGUUCUCCCUGAGACUU